UCGUAGGAUCGUCGGGCGCGUCGGCGUCGGCGUCGGGCGCGUCGUCGCCGCCCGCGUCGCCGCCGCCCGCGCAUCAAGCGCCGCUGCGGGUCACGCUUACAGCGACGGGAGAGUUGAGGCGCACGCCUGAUAUUGACAGACUUAUCUCACUCGGAAGAGAACGCAACACCUCGGACGCCCGAGCAGUCGUUCUCAGACAACACGACGAGACCACGCACGUCAGGACGCGGGCCUCGUCGCGCCAGGAGACCGUCAGGAGAGACGAACAGACCGUCAGGAGAGACGAACAAAGCAUUAGGAGAGAGGAGCACAGCGCCAGGAGAGACGAGAGGAAGGAAGGCGCCACGCUAUACAAACGGGGGGAGCUCAUCUCGAGCGCUCAGUCCCCGCCCACAUGACAGAUUAUAUACGUGUUUUUAUACAUAAACGUCUAUUUAUCA